rnacentral:rRNA from 1 species
UACGGGGGAGCAAGCGUUGUUCGGAUUUACUGGGCGUAAAGGGCGCGUAGGCGGUCGUGACAAGUCACUUGUGAAAUCUCCGGGCUUAACUCGGAACGGUCAAGUGAUACUGUCGGACUAGAGUACAGAAGGGGCAACUGGAAUUCUCGGUGUAGCGGUGAAAUGCGUAGAUAUCGAGAGGAACACCUGCGGCGAAGGCGGGUUGCUGGGCUGAUACUGACGCUGAGGCGCGAAAGCCAGGGGAGCGAACGGGA